CAUUACAGUAACUAAGUAUGUUGAAAACUCCCUAAAAAAACAAUCGCUACUAAAAGCCCUUGAUGUGCUUACCGCUUAGCAGGUAGCCUAGACUGAAAACCCAACUCUUGUUCAGCACAGCCCCACACGUGUAAAAUC